CAGAUUUACGCACCCUCACAACGAUCACAGCGUUACUGUUAUCCCUCGUCCAAUCAGUGCUAUCAGUAUACUGCUAUUCUUGUAUGAGUAUGAGAACACGAAGCAACUCUUCGUACAACGUUCCGGACCGUCCCGAUGCUGCCUGCGAAAGCAACCGAAAUUUAACGGAUAUUACCGAAUGCCAAAUGGGCGGCUGUAUGAUUAUGAACACAACAUUCAAGUACAAUUUCGACUUAUAUGGUGAGGUAUACACGCGGUUUUUCAUUCGAUCAUGCGGCUACGAGAUGGACAAGUGCCUCGACGAUCAAGAUCUUCAGCCCUUCAUUGGAGAAUACGAAAAGGACAUCAACGCGGACGUCGAAAACGGGACGUUUCUCGGCUUCAAGGGAACCGUCUGCUUUUGUACCGGGCCAGCUUGCAAUACUGGGAACGCACUUAGCCCCAGCCCGGUCCCACUUAUUGCAGUUGGUGUUGUACUUUUAUUGUGUCAAGCAAUCACAUGGCGACCUUAAACUUGGCAUUUUAUUAUCCCCACGAAAAUACCCUGCGAAAACAUUCUAAACGUGAUAAAUCAACCUUAAAAAUGGCCGGGUAGUGACAACAUUGUCAAAAUUAUAGAGGUAACACACUAAACAUGCUGGAUCCAUGCAUUUUUAAUUUAGUGUUCAAAGUGUUAAUCUACUAUGUUAAAACUGUUGUCAUUACUCGGCACUUUUAAAUGUGGUUUUACCAUUUGUGUCAUUUGUGGAACAGGCGACAUGCCUAUAGUCAACGCCGAGCCGAGGAACACAAAAAUCUUCUUGUGACGUGAAUACACGUUCAUGAAGCAUUCAUUCGAUCCAACGCAGUAAUGACUGUAACUACAGUAAAUUCGUAUCGUCAGACAAAACAUAUGUGCAUGUGAUCAAUGGUGUAAUAGUACA